rnacentral:rRNA from 1 species
GACGAACGCUGGCGGCGUGCCUAAUACAUGCAAGUAGAACGCUGAAGGAGGAGCUUGCUUCUCUGGAUGAGUUGCGAACGGGUGAGUAACGCGUAGGUAACCUGCCUGGUAGCGGGGAAUAACUAUUGGAAACGAUAGCUAAUACCGCAUAAUAGUAGAUGUUGCAUGACAUUUGCUUAAAAGGUGCAAUUGCAUCACUACCAGAUGGACCUGCGUUGUAUUAGCUAGUUGGUGGGGUAACGGCUCACCAAGGCGACGAUACAUAGCCGACCUGAGAGGGUGAUCGGCCACACUGGGACUGAGACACGGCCCAGACUCCUACGGGAGGCAGCAGUAGGGAAUCUUCGGCAAUAGACGGAAGUCUGACCGAGCAACGCCGCGUGAGUGAAGAAGGUUUUCGGAUCGUAAAGCUCUGUUGUAAGAGAAGAACGAGUGUGAGAGUGGAAAGUUCACACUGUGACGGUAUCUUACCAGAAAGGGACGGCUAACUACGUG